rnacentral:lncRNA from 1 species
CUUAAAAAGUGCCUCCUGAAAGAGCAUAUGAUAGGUGCUUCUCUAAAAAACACUAUUACGAGCCAAAAGCACUUCUAAAUUUUUUUUGCCAAGCACAACAUAAAACGCUUUUGGCUUUUAUAGAAGCAAUCUCAAACGAGCCCUAAGUAAAAAGAGGUUUAUAUAGGCCACUAGACCCAAACGAAAGAGAAAACUAAUAGUGGGCAAUGAAUUGGUUUUCGAUCUACCGUCAAAUUGGCAUAGAUUAUGAUUCUCUCCCUUCUUCUUUCCAUCCCCUCCUCUCACAUUCUCUAUUUUGUCUUUCUCUUUCUAUAAAAACUUAAUAUAAGAUGUUGACGUAGCUUAACCGUGACCGUUCAAAUAAGAGGGGAGGGAAGGGGAGGGAAGAAAAGAGGGGAGAGAAUCCUACUCCAAUUGGCACAACAUUCGGCAUUGUUUUGCAAGGAUGCUUUCUUCUUAGCAUUGAUUUACACACACUCUAGUAUGUGGUAUAAAACGAGCGAGGGUUUGGCUGGAGAACGAGUCUGAGUCGUUAAUGCCAUGUGGGCUGGAGGGUUUCAUUUGGUGCCAUUACUCCUUUUCGUGUUUCUAUCAUCCUUUUGGAACUGGAAGAGAAGUGGAGGGGAAAAAGGUAGUUUAGGGCAAAAAGGAUAUUGAGUUUAUAAACCAGGAAAAUGGCUAAGCAAUUAUUUGGUGCCAAUGUGACCCUUACCAAAAUAUAGACUAGUUGUGGUAAAAAAGAAAAAGGCAAAAGGGGGUAACUUUAAAUACAAAUUGUACCAAAGUGUAAAUUGUCCCACAGCUUGUCCAGGGACCAGAUCAUUGAGUUGUUGCUGCAAGCCUGCAAGGAGAAAGUUGUGGAUUAGAUAGACGCAUCGUCUUCGUUUGGUAUCAUUCCAAGUCGUCCUGGGUGUUUCUUCUUCAAUUUGGCCUCUUUCUUCCUUUGGAUUUUUGAGCUCAUGAGCAAAUUGAUUGUCGUUUUCUGUUUCCUGAAGACAAAAUUUGACUGUUUGAAAAAACACUUUUUCAUGAAAAAUUAGUUUGAAAUCUAUUCUACACCUAAAUGGACAUCAAUCAUUAAUUUUGUGUUAACUAAGAAUGUAUGUAUGAAUUCUUGUAUUAGGAUUUAGUAGUAUCUCUCUUUAUUUUUAAGUGAGAAACCUUAAGUUUGAUUCUCAUAAAUUACGAGUUCGAAACCAAACUCUUCUCGGCCCAUUAGUGUAACUCUGUUAGGCUUUCAUCCCUGAUAUCGUUGUAUAACAAAACUAUAUGCAUGAAUUAUUACUUGAGGACGGAGGAAAAAACAAAUUCACUUGACUUAUUUCCAAAUUAAGGCUUUAUUUCUUCCUGAUUUUAGAAUUACCUGAUUAUCUAGCCUAUGCUCAUACCACAUUGAACUUCAACGAUUCAAACUGUUUAUUUUUUAAGUUGCACCUCAUAGAUCAUUUUUGUGAAAUAUUAGCUAAAUUAAAAAUAUAUGAGGUAUCUAAUUGAGUACAAAAAAAAAUUGACGAACACUAUAUAUUCUAAGAAGCAUAUGAAAUUUCAUCUUAACAAUUAAAUAGGCAAAUAAUUUCGGAUUGAAUUAAAUUUUUGUAAGGAUUGUCUAUUAAUUAAGACUUAUAAAAUAGAAGGUACAUAUCGUUGAAAUUUAAUAUACUGUAAGCUCCACAACUAAUCCUCAUUUAAAAAAAAUAGAAAUCCCUUGUUAAGGCAUGUGCUUUUGAGUAGGUAAAAUUUGAAACGUGAGAUGUCGUUCACUAUGGAAACAAAGAUCGAAAGCCUUCAUGGUCCCAUUCCUUGAAUCAGAACAAAAGAACUUUAAAGAAAAGUCCUUUAACUCUGUCCAACUUUGGAUACUUUUGUUCAUGCAUGCAUUCACUGACUGAUCUGAUCUCGUUGUUUUGAAGGGAAGAGAUUUUUCAGUGUAAUCGGUAUAUGAGUUGGUACAUCACUUGUUAAUAUACAAAUGAUGAGAUAUAUGUGUUAAAAAGUUAAUAACUUAAAAAAUAAAAUUUUCCACCACUUACAUAAAAACAUGUGAUAUACUACUUGUAUUUCCGUCACAAUGAAAAAUUUCUCCUUGAAGGAUAAGAGAGGAAAUUCCAGACUAAACUACGUGGCACUACAUGCAGCAUGUCAAUUACAUCAACUCUUCAAGCUUUCAACCCUUUCAUGGCAUCUUCAAAGCAUAUGCCUAACUUCUUAGAAAUAUGACCAACAUCUAACAUUUUUGUAAUCCAUAAAGAAAUACAUACGUUAACAUUUAGAAACAAAAUCCAGACAAUAAGAGAGAGAUGGCUGUCCAGAAAAAAAGUAAGAGACAGAUGCAUCCAUUGAUAUAAAAAAGAAAGAAAAAAGAGAUGCAUCAACAACUCAAUAUUUAUUACCUAUUGAAUCGCAGUUUUACAUACAUAUCAUUGCUAAUGAGAUUGGCACUAUUAGUUAUCGAGGACAUAGCAAUCUGUAUUGUAUUUACAAUUAUAUGAGUUAAACUUCAUACAUCCUCCGAUUAAAUGACAAUAACUACUAUAAAAAUGUUUAUAUGUAAGUAGGCUACAUAAAUACACAUAAACAAAUAAGUUCUUGUAUAUAUGCUAUACUUUGAUUUGUUUAUAACAGGAAAAGGUUCCACAUUAUUGCUAGCUAGGCUAAGCUCACAUCCCUCUCACUUAAUGUAGAUAAUAUCAUUUGUUAAAAAUAAAAAAAAGACUCAACAAGGAAUCACUAUUUGUUUCUUUAUAACCAUAAAUUUAUGUAGAGCAACCGAUUGAGUAUCUCAAAGUUCUUAUUCGUAUACAACACACGUUGAGACAGGUAAUAAUUAUAACAAAAUUAAAGACUAUAAUCUUAUAACGUUUUUAGAUUAGCUAAAACAUUGGUAUACAUAUUUAGCUUGCUAAAAACAUAUGUCGAAAUGUGCCACACCUGGAGGAUUUGUAACAAAUUCAUCGUUUUAGAACAAUAAGAAAUGACACGUUGCCUGUAAGAAUUUUAUAGUUUGUUGAAUGCCAUCAACAUCCAUCACGUUUGAAAAUAUGGGCGGCAUUGUCUGGGUUGUAAGACCCCUAUAUUCGUUUGUUCCUGUGCUAAACAAGGAUGGCCUCCCUUGCCCUCCUCUUUAGAUUUCUGUUAGGAUGAGAUUAAGGUGACUUGGGGCUUGUUCCAAGUUUGUGUUUUCUACCUUCUUCUCAUUGUGUAGUUCUUGUUGGUCUCUCUAGGCCUUCUGUUUCUUUUGGCUUCGGCCCUGGUAUUGAUUUUCCCAGUUUCUCAAAAAAAAAAAAAAAAAAAAGUUAUGGGAGUCCCUCUCUCACAUUAAUAAAGUCUGGACCCAAGAAAAAGCAAAAGGAUCCGGCAAGGAUCCGUUUGCCGGAUCCUUUUCCACAGGUUUGGGUACAUUAAUGAUCACUACAAGAAAAAGGAAAAGGAUCCGGCAAUAAAGUUUGGACCCAAGAAAAAGGAAAGGGAUCCGGCAGGGAUCCGUUUGUUGGAUCAUUUCAAAAUUUAAAAUUUAAAAUUAAAUAUAAAUAAUACCUACAAAAACUGACCGCACAAUGUAUGAUGAACGAUCACGAUCACGGGAUCCCUAGGAAAAGAAUCCGGCGAGGAUCCUUUUCCCGAGAAAAGUAGGCUUUAGUCACGAUUUGUUAAGAUUAAUCUAACCUAAAAGCUAUACCACAUUCUAAACACAAAAUUUGGUAAGAAUAUGAUGAUUUAUUUUAUUUUCUCAAACUAUAGAGCAGUUACGUACUCACACACCGGCGACAAUUAUCCUCCCCCAAAUCUGGGUAUAUUUCUACUAAAAAAAAUGUUUACAUAUAGAAACCGUAUAGUAAGUUUAUUGAAAUUGGCUCUGUAUUAAUGGAAUCUCCGCAUCCGUACAUUAAAUUAGAGUGGAACUCGAGGAAAUGGAGUACAUACGAAGAUAAGAAGACGAAGAAGAAAACUACAAACUUGGAGCUUCAAGGAGAGGGACUGAGCAGGGAGUAUAAAGAAAACAUUGUAUUUUUCUUCGAAGAUCUUUCACAUUUUCUUCUUGGUUUCAAGGAGAGGGAACUGAGCAGGGAGUAUAAAGAGCCAAAGCCCAGAAUUCCACAAUGAAAAAGAAAACAUUGUAUUUUUCUUCGAAGAUCCUUCACAUUUUCUUCUUCGCUUUACAGAAUCAAAUAGCAUAUUCUCACCCCCAAGAAACGAUAUAAGAAAACAGCCAAAUUAAGGUAAAUUCGAUAUAAUGCAUUUUUUUAUAGCAACUUGGCAAACAAAAACAUAGUAGAAGAAAACAAGGAAUAUACAAAGAAAUUAAGGAAGUUUGGGAAAACGAAGAAAUAUAAUAAAGGACCAACUCUCAAUGAGUUUAUAAUACUAUAUACGGUGCAAAUGUAUAUGUUCAGGAAAUAAACUUUUAGCGAAAAUAAGCUGCAAAUUUGACUAAAUUUUUCUUCAUAUUUACACUCAAUUUUUUUCAAGAAUAUAUAUAGAGUUUGGCCAAAGGAAUUAACUUCGUUCCUUAACGAUUGAGGAGGAGUUCCUCCCCAAUUCACAUUGUGGCUGAUUAUGGACCUUCAUUCUUAUAAUCGGAAGAGUAUAGAAACUACUCUUUUUAUCGUCGAAUCCGGAAGGAAGAAGUGGUUGUAGCUUUGAAGAAGAUGAAGCAUAAAAAAGCAAUAGGCCCAGACGAUAUACCAAUCGAAGUGUGGAAACUUUUGGGAGAGACGGGUAUAACAUGGCUCACUGACCUUUUCAAUAGGAUUUUGAAAACGAAGAAGAUGCCAAAUGAGUGGCGAACGAGCACUUUGGUGCCUAUCUACAAGAAUAAGGGCGACGUACAAAAUUGCAUGAACUAUAGGGGUAUUAAGCUAAUGAGUCAUACAAUGAAGCUCUGGGAGAGAGUCAUUGAGCAUAGAUUGAGGCAAGAGACACGGGUUUCGGACAACCAAUUCGGGUUCAUGCCAGGGCGCUCAACCAUGGAGGCAAUCUAUCUCUUACGAAGAUUGAUGGAAAGAUAUAGAGAUGGGAAAAAGGAUUUACACAUGGUCUUUAUAGAUUUGGAAAAAGCGUAUGAUAGGGUCCCAAGAGACAUUCUUUGGAGGAUUUUAGAGAAGAAAGGAGUACGAGUAGCAUAUAUCCAAGCUAUAAAGGAUAUGUAUGAAGGAGCAAAGACUGCCGUAAGAACUCAUGAAGGACAAACCGAAAGCUUUCCCAUAACUGUAGGAUUACAUCAAGGCUCAUCCUUAAGUCCUUACCUUUUUGCGUUGGUAAUGGAUGAGUUAACAGGACAUAUUCAAGAUGAUAUUCCUUGGUGUAUGCUUUUCGCAGACGAUAUAGUGUUGAUAGAUGAAACUCAGGAAGGGGUAAAUGCAAAGCUUAACCUUUGGAGAGAAGUGUUGGAAUCUAAAGGUCUUCGCCUAAGCCGAUCAAAGACAGAAUAUAUGGAGUGCAAGUUCAGUGCAAAUGGAGGCCAAAACGAGUUAGGGGUGAGGAUCGGAGAUCAAGAAAUACCAAAGAGCGACCGUUUUCGUUACCUAGGAUCUAUCUUGCAAAAGAACGGAGAAUUAGAUGGAGAUCUCAACCAUAGAAUACAAGCUGGAUGGAUGAAGUGGAAGAGUGCAUCCGGCGUGUUGUGUGACCGCCGUAUGCCACUGAAGCUCAAGGGAAAAUUUUAUAGGACGGCAAUAAGGCCGGCGAUGCUGUAUGGCACAGAAUGUUGGGCGGUGAAACAUCAACACGUACACAAAAUGGGUGUAGCGGAGAUGAGGAUGCUUCGUUGGAUGUGUGGGCACACGAGAAAGGAUAAGAUUAGGAAUGAGGAUAUCCGGGGUAAAGUAGGAGUAGCCGAAAUUGAAGGAAAGAUGAGAGAAAAUCGGUUACGGUGGUUUGGACAUGUGCAAAGAAGGCCUACUGACGCUCCGAUUAGAAGAUGCGACUAUGGGACAGAGGUUCAGGGCCGAAGGGGUAGAGGAAGACCUAGGAAAACUUUGGAAAGAGACUCUAAGAAAAGACUUAGAGUACUUGGAUCUAACGAAGGACAUGACACAGGAUCGAGCACAAUGGCGUUCUAAGAUUCAUAUAGCCGAUCCCACUCAGUGACUUGGAUUUUCCAAGUCUCCAACCGAGAAGUUUUCCUCACUCGGGAAAUUAAGGGAACACUACCCCAACCUACAUGCUCCACUCAGAAAGCUUCAACAUACAAGCUUCAACAAAAGAAAAUUCAAAGAACUUAGCGAAGAAGGCUUUGGUGUAUUUAACACAAUACGUUGAAAUGAAGGAAAGCUUAUUUAUUGAUAUCCCCGAUAAGCUACAAAUAUGUACAUAUACAUGAGUCAAAAUAAACACACAAGAGGGAGCCUUCACAAAGGUUGCUUAGGAGAAGUCUCAGCAGUCGGUAGAGCCCCAGAAAGAGAAGGCACCGGAGGGGGAUCAUUUGGAGCCUCAGUACUGGACAGAACCCUAGAAGGAGGAGGCAUCAGAGGUUGAUCAUUUGGAGCUUCAUUACGCGGUACAGCCCCAGAAGACGAAGGCAAUAAAUGCCUUUGGAACAAACCCACAAAUCUCUGAUGAUCAAGUAAAACCUGACCAUCAGUUUCCUUCAUCUGGUCAAGCUUCCUCUUCAUGUUUGUAGCAUAGUCAUGUGCGAGCCGGUGCAACUGUUUAUUCUCAUGCUUGAGCCCUCUAAUCUCCUGUUUGAGACUCAUCACUUCAGCCGCCAAUGAUUCAACUUGGCGGGUUCGAGCAAAUAGGCGUUGGGCCAUAUUAGACACAGAACCUGCACACUGAACACUGAGAGCCAGCGAAUCCUUAACAGCUAACUCAUCAGACCGUUUGGAAAGUAGUCUGUUAUCUUUGGGAGUGAGAAGGUUCCUGGCCACCACCGCAGCGGUCAUAUCAUUCUUCAUCACGGAAUCCCCAACGGUAAGAGGACCAGUAGGGGAGACGAAGGAUGGGCGCCAUAUGUUGUCUGGAGAAGGCGGGGCUGCCUCUUCAACAAGGUUCAAGUCAAAACGACGGUCGGAGGGGCCAGACAUUUUCAAAGGUGUUGAAGAGAGAAGAGGUCGGACAAAUCAAGAUCUUAGAAGUGCAAGAAUGAAGCUUCUACUGGUGGAGAUUCAAGUGUGCUUUGGAACUUAAUGCCAGCCCCUAUAAAAAUCUGCACUCGACGGAGCUCGCCUGCUCAGAAAUCGAAGAGGCGUUUGCUUUCUCAAAAGCUGGGCUGCUUAGAGAUCACGAGGGUUGAUCUCAGAAAUCGAAGAGGCGUUUGCUUUCUCAAAAGUUGGGCUGCUCAAAGACCACGAAGGCCGAUCUCAGAAAUCGAAGAGGCGCUCGCUUUCUCAAAAGCUGGGCUCCCCAGAGACCACGAGGGCCGAUCUCAGAAAUCGAAGAGGCACCUACUUUUCCAGCCUUGUCAGCACCUGUCACACGCACACUCAGCUUUGCGGAAAUUAUGGGCAUUCUGUCGAAGACUUCUGGGGAAGUAGAAAACACAUGAAUCUUACUGUUCAAUCACCCACUUCCCACACGCAACAAUAGCUCAUGGGUACCACAGAUAACUUUGCCAAAGUUCUCUGCCAAAGUUGAGCACGUGAAGCUUGCAGCUCCCACUACAUCGCUCUGACCAAGAAGGGUAAAAGAAUAGCAAAGAAACAGCACUAACAAAGUUUAGACCCAUAAAUUUUGAAGGUCUAGCUACCAUAUUAUUACCCACAAGGGUAAAGGAACAGUACCACUGCUGGAUAAUUGGAAAGUCCCUGUGUGUCAACCUCUGUGCUUCGUGGCAAGGUAGACUAGCAAACAUGCCCAACCUUUACUCACAUUCGAGAAAACACUCCCAAUAAGAUUGCUUGCUCCAAAAUCGAAGAGGCACCGUCCUCCGAAUCUCGAGAGCCAGACUCCCAACAUGACUACUUUCUUAAAAAUCGAAGAGAGGGUAAAGGAACAGUACCAUUGCUGGAUAAUUGGAAAGUCCCUGUGUGUCAACCUCUGUGCUUCGUGGCAAGGUAGACUAGCAAACAUGCCCAACCUUUACUCACAUUCGAGAAAACACUCCCAACAAGAUUGCUUGCUCCAAAAUCGAAGAGGCACCGCCCUCCGAAUCUCGAGAGCCAGACUCCCAACAUGAUUACUUUCUCAAAAAUCGAAGAGACACUGCUCCCCGAAUCUUCGAGAGCCAGACCCCCAGCAUGAUUGCUUUCUCAAAAAUCGAUGAGGCAUCGUUCUCCGAAUCAAUCGAAGAGGCGCUCGCUUUCUCAAAAGCUGGGCUGCUCAGAGACCACGAGGGCCGAUCUCAGAAAUCGAAGAGGCACCUACUUUUCUAGCCUUGUCAGCACCUGUCACACGCACACUCAGCUUUGCAGAAAUUAUGGGCAUUCUGUCGAAGACUUCUGGUGAAGUAGAAAGCACAUGAAUCUUACUGUUCAAUCACCCACUUCCCACACGCAACAAUAGCUCAUGGGUACCACAGAUAACUUUGCCAAAGUUCUCUGCCAAAGUUGAGCACGUGAAGCUUGCAGCUCCCACUACAUCGCUCUGACCAAGAAAGGUAAAAGAAUAGCAAAGAAACAGCACUAACAAAGUUUAGACACAUAAAUUUUGAAGGUCUAGCUACCAUAUUAUUACCCACAAGGGUAAAGGAACAGUACCACUGCUGGAUAAUUGGAAAGUCCCUGUGUGUCAACCUCUGUGCUUCGUGGCAAGGUAGACUAGCAAACAUGCCCAACCUUUACUCACAUUCGAGAAAACACUCCCAACAAGAUUGCUUGCUCCAAAAUCGAAGAGGCACCGUCCUCCGAAUCUCGAGAGCCAGACUCCCAACAUGACUACUUUCUCAAAAUCGAAGAGAGGGUAAAGGAACAGUACCAUUGCUGGAUAAUUGGAAAGUCCCUGUGUGUCAACCUUUGUGCUUCGUGGCAAGGUAGACUAGCAAACAUGCCCAACCUUUACUCACAUUCGAGACAACACUCCCAACAAGAUUGCUUGCUCCAAAAUCGAAGAGGCACCGCCCUCCGAAUCUCGAGAGCCAGACUCCCAACAUGAUUACUUCCUCAAAAAUCGAAGAGACACUGCUCUCCGAAUCUCGAGAGCCAGACCCCCAGCAUGAUUGCUUUCUCAAAAAUCGAAGAGGCAUCGUUCUCCGAAUCUCGAGAGCCAGAUACCACAGACCACUUUUUCAAAGUGCUCUGACAGAGUUAAAACAUGUGAAACUGGCAGCUCCCACUACCGUGCUAUGACCAAGCAGGGUAAAGGAAUAGCAUUACUACUUGUUGUUAGGGAGACUCCUAUAUAUGUCGACCUCCAUCCCCAACGGACAGGCAGACCUGCAAAAAUGCUCAACCCUUCAUCAUAUCUGAGAGGGCACUCCCAACGAAGCCUUUCGAAAUAUUCAGCUUUCUUUCCCCCCGAUAAUACCUCUGCAAACAAGCUAUACUAGAGCAAGAAUAUCUCAUAUCAUCAGGGUUAAAAGCAAGAGUAUCCCAUAUCAUGCUUUUUCCCUGUCUUUUCCUUUGGCCUUGUUUUUACCUGCAAGACAAGGAGAAAGAGAGCAAUCAGUCAGCACUUGGAAUCAAGCUUCCAGCCAGGAACUGACUGCCUGGAACCCCUUACCUGAUUACUUACCUGGCAUUGCUCUCGAGUACUCAUCUUCAACAUCUUAUGUUUCCAGGGAAGAUUCCGCAUCUGCUUGAGGAACAGAUAGGGCAAGUGCGAAGGAUACAAGGAAGCAUGUGGAGACAAGCGUAACAGCACACGUGCCGAUACAUCCAUUACUCUGUCAAAAGCAAAAGUAUCCCAUAUCAGCAGGGUGGAACGUACUCUAGAUUUGAUGGACUUGUUUUGACCCUCAAAUUCUUCAGUCGGCCUUAUACUCUGGAGGAAACCAGAAAACCCUCCAGCUCAGUUCAAGAAUAAGCCUGUGGAAAGUUACUUCUUCAAAAGCAAAAGUAUCUCAUAUCAUCUCUUCUCAUUUUUCUUCUCUUUAUCCUUCAUGCUGCUGCAAGAUGGGGAGAAGGUGAACAAUCAGUCGGAGCUCUGAUUGCUUACCUUGUCUGUCACCUCUUUCAGCAGACCCCCUAGCUCGGCGACUUGGGGGACUCCUACUACAUGGUUUGUAUCGCGCUUGACCAAGCCUGAAACUACAAGUAAGCUUCAAGUGAAAUUGAUACAUUACCUUGUGCAUCUCCACCAGUUAAAGAUACCACCCCUGGAUGGAGGAAGAGUACUUCCAGAGAAGAUGCCACAUCUACCUAUGAGACAGAUAAGGCAAGUCAAGACGACACCACACUCCGAUACUUAGAAGUUUCGUGAUUACGAGAUCAUUCUCCCACAAUAUUUCCUAAUGUCAUUUGUACUAAAUCAUUCACUUGUACUCACUAAAGGAGAGCUUGAACCUAUGUACUUGUGUAAACCCUUCACAAUUAAUGAGAACUCUUCUAUUCCGUGGACGUAGCCAAUCUGGGUGAACCACGUACAUCUUGUGUUUGCUUUCCUAUCUCUAUCCAUUUAUAUACUUAUCCACACUAAUGACCGGAGCAAUCUAGCGAAGAUCACAAAAAGCGACCGUUUUCGCUACCUAGGAUCUAUCUUGCAAGAGAACGGAGAAUUAGAUGGAGAUCUCAACCAUAGAAUACGAGCUGGAUGGAUGAAGUGUAAGAGUGCAUCCGGCGUGUUGUGUGACCGUCGUAGGCCACUGAAGCUCAAGGGAAAAUUUUAUAGGACGGCAAUAAGGCCAGCGAUGUUGUAUGGCACAGAAUGUUGGGCGGUGAAGCAUCAACACGUACACAAAAUGGGUGUAGCGGAGAUGAGGAUGCUUCGUGGGAUGUGUGGGCACACGAGAAAGGAUAAGAUUGGGAAUGAGGAUAUCCGAGGUAAAGUAGGAGUAGCCGAAAUUGUAGGAAAGAUGAGAGAAAAUCGGCUCCGGUGAUUUGGACAUGUGCAAAGAAGGCCGAAUGACGCUCCGGUUCGAAGAUGUGACUACGGGACAGAGGUUCAGGGCCGAAGGGGUAGAGGAAGACCUAGGAAAACUUUGGAAGAGACUCUAAGAAAAGACUUAGAGUACUUGGAUCUAACGGAGGACAUGACACAAAACCGAGCGCAAUGGCGUUCUAGGAUUCAUAUAGCCGACCCCACUUAGUGGGAAAAGGCUUUGUUGUUGUUGUUGUUGUUGUAUUCUUAUAAUCGGAAUUAUUCAUAUUAUAAAUUACUGUGUCAAUAUCAUCUCCACAAAAAAAAUCAAUUAAAUAUAAGAUCGUUUGGUCAUGAAACUGUGUAAAAAUAGAUGAACCGAUCCGGUACAUGAAUUCCGAAACUUCUAUCUACUUGCUAUAAUUUAUUGACUAAACAAUCUUAGUUUUAAUUAAUUUUUUUUAGAGAUGAUCUUUAAUUAUAAAGUAAUUUAUAAUAUGAAUGAUUCUGAUCAUAAGUACGAACUUCUUCUCAAUCUUGAGAAGCCAAGCCUUCCUCAAAAGUUAAAUAAAAAACAAAACCAAAAUGAUGCUCGGCUUCCUGGGUACUCAGCUAAACUCUCCACCUCCUUUCAUCUUACAAGCUUCUAGAUUUAGAUUUGUCUCAAAUGACAUGCCAACUAAUCUGCCCAGCUCAAUUUUGAUUCUUUGAAAUUUCCAGUGCCUCUACUUUUUCAUUUCUAAAUCUUACUUACUCCCAUUAUAUAUAAUUAGUUUUUUUUAUAUAUAUAGAUUUAUAAAGAUGCUUUGUCUAGAUAUGAAAGACAUAGUAGUGAUUCAAAGAGAUCAUUUGGAGCCAAAAAUAGUUAGGUGUAGUCAAAUUCGGAUUUGAGAGUAUUUUAAAAGACUUUAAAAUCCUAGUAUAGUCAAUUAAAAGAUUUUAAAGGAUUUUAAACUCUAUCCAAAUCUAAGUGUAUUAAAAAAAUUAAGAUUUUGGAGGAUUUCAAUAAGUUGUGGAUUUUGUAGGAUUUGAAAGCAAGAAGUAUGUCACAGUCCCGGAGAUGUACGUUAAUUAUUUAUCGGAGGUGUGAAAAGUCGGAGUUACCCCUGGACGUUGAGUUGUAUUAUUGGUUUAAUUGUGUUUUUGGACCAAUAUUAUUAAAUCCUAAUUGUUUGGAAUCAAUUAGGAUUAGAGUUUGGUGUAUUGUGGGUUGUUGACUAUUUUGGACCACACAUCACUCCAUUCUCUCUCUCACUCCCGUGCACUCUCUCUCGGUUUCACUCUCUCUCUCCUUUGAACUCGUACGGACAAUCACCCAAAACCCUUGAAACUUCACGGAUCGUGGUCAAGGUUGGCACCAUUGUGUUCGUGAAGCUCAGACGAGUCGAUUGGUACCCAUUUCAGGUAAAGAUACCUUCGAAAACCCUAGUUUUUCAUAACCCCCGAUUUGUGCAUUGUUCAUGCACACGUAAUUAUGGAUGGUUUUGGAAUUUGAAGCUUGUAGGAAGCUUAGUGAGGUCCUAAGGAAGCUCGAAGUGCUUCGUUUGAAGGUUUUGGACGUUGGGAUCGUGUGGAUGAAGUUUGGCCAGUUUUUCUUGGAAUUCUCCGGUGAGAUCCCGUGACUUUUAAAACUUUAAAUUAGUAUGAUUGUGUUCUACAAGUUAAGAGCUUCAUUUUGGUAUAAAUUGCGUAAAAAAUGGUGCAAAAAUGAGCAAUAAAUAGGCAGUUGCAGGUUUGCCCAAAAUCCGGUGCCGGUGACACUAUUCCAGCAUCUGGAGGUUGAAGAUGCCGCGCGUGGGGGGCGCGUUUUGCCAUGCCCUUGCCGGAUGAUUGUGUUCUACAAGUUAAGAGCUUCAUUUUGGUAUAAAUUGCGUAAAAAAUGGUGCAAAAAUGAGCAAGAAAUAGGCAGUUGCAGGUCUGCCCAAAAUCCGGUGCCAGUGACAUUAUUCCGGCGUCUGGAGGUUGAAGAUGCCGCGCGUGGGAGGCGCGUUUUGCCGUGCCCUUGCCAGCGCAUGGGAGCUUGAAAAUUUUAUCUAAAAAUUUAGGGAUGAUCCUGAGGUUGUAUAGGUCACUGUGGUGUAUUCAUAUACCUAUUUUGAGCAAUGUAUGAAAAGUUAUUAGUUAGUUUCACCUAUGUGCUUUAAAAUAACGUUUUUAUAGUUAAUUCGCAUAUAGGUGAGGCUUAUCCCAAGGACGAGCGUAUCCACGGGCGACUCGGGGGCUACGACCCUUCGACAUACCAGUGAGUGGGAUUUUGUUUUCAGUAUAUACUUAUACACUAGAUAUAUUUCCUAGAAAUGCAUUUUUUUCAAGGAAACUAUGCUUUGAAAUAGUAUGCCAAAUGCUUUUAUAUUCUGAAUAUGCAUUUCAUGGUUGCAUAUAUAUAUAUAUAUAUAUAUAUAUAUAUAUAUAUAUGUGGUGUUGUGGAGGCACAGGUAAGUUCAGGUAAGUUAUGUUUGGUUAUAUGAAUCAUCGAUAAAGUGAUAUGUGAUUGAAUAAUGUUGAGCUUAUAAAACUGCACCUAAGGUGAUUGUGAUUUAGCCAGAGAUGUGAAGUACAUGCCUGUUUAUUUACGUCACCUCCCGCACUAUAUGCUCAUAUUGGAUCUAAUUUAAGUGCACAGUUUUGUCGUACAGACCUUAUUUAUGGUUCCGACUCGUAGGUGACUAGCGAUUUAUCGCCCGGCUAUUAUGAGAGAGUAAAAUUGAGCAUAAUUAUAUUACACCCAAUCUUGUCUUACAGACCCCUUUUUAGUGGUUCCGACUUAUGUGCAGUACAUUGCCGUAUAGGUCAUUGUAGUGACUCCGGCUAGAUUGACUUUGAGCUAUGAAUUCAACCGUACAGACUAUCACAGGGGUUCCGGCUAACAUAUCAUAUUUCUAUGAAUUUAUUCUUACCUGAAUUGUUUACUCUGUUAUAACUUGGCAUAACAUACAUUUAAAUAUGAUUAUGUGAAGCAUGAAUUGAAUUGAUAUGAUUUCAUAUAUAUAUAUAUAUAUAUAUAUAUAUAUAUAUAUAUUAUGUAUAUGCUUAUAUCUUGGUUUUGGGAAAAAUUAUACAUGUUUGACAGCGAGGGGUUAGUAUAUUGAUAAAUGAAAUGGUUUUGUAAAACAUUUGUUUUUGCCCACUCACGUUUUCUGUUUUGCUCCCUUCCAGGUUUUAACUAAGCUUGCUGUUGGUGGCUUGAGGACGUCGGCAGUUUUGACUUAUCUAAAUAAUAGUAGGACAUUGCUGGUACUGUAUAGCUAGUACUUGUCUUACUGGACUACACCUAGACUUUAUGCUCUGAUUAGGAGUGUUUACUGUUGUAACUAACUUCUAUCACUUUCUGUUUAGUAGUGCACUCUAGUAAAUUGGUUUUCAAUUAUUCGUAUAAUUCUUAUCAUUAUCGCUUCCGCACUGUGCACAUGGCUACGCACCCUCACGUGACGGUCAUCAUGGCUUGAUCUCGGUCGGGGUGUGUCAAAGUAUAUAUAACCAAGACUAAAAAUAAUCCAACCUCACCCUCUAGAAUUUCAAAUCAUUUUCCAUCUGAGCAGUCCUCAGAUCUCUACCAACCCCAGCUACACACAGGUAACCACCAUAUACUUUGGUGGAAUCUCUUAUUAUGACCCUUAGACUUUAAUUAGGCAUGUAUGAUCAUCGAAGGACAUGAUCGAUCUAGGAUUUUGGUUAAUACUACUCUCACACCAUUUUGAUUUUUUUUAAUGUUUGUGGUACUACAAGCACUAUUAAAGUACCACAGCAUCCAUUUGUGGGAAAAUGGCAGUCGGUGGUGAUGGUUGUUGGUGGUUUAGUGCUCAAAAGCUCACCAAAGUUAUAUUGAUCUAUCAAUUGAGAAAGAGAUAGAGCCGUGGUUGUGUGAAAGGGGACCCGAAAAGGGAGGGGAUAAAGUGGUUAUCGAGUACAGUAGGGCAAGGGGAAAGAUUUUUCCUUUUAUUUUCAAUUAAAAAAUUAUAUUAAUAUUAUCACAUCCCAUGCUCGACUCCACCGUAGCACGAUAUUGUCCGCUUUAGGCCCCGACCACGACCACAUGGUUUUGUUUUUGUGAACUCACGCGAGAACUUCCUAGUGGGUCACCCAUCUUGGGAUUGCUCUCGCGCGAACUCGCUUAACUUUUGAGUUCCGAUGGAAUCCGAAGCCAGUGAACUCCCAAAAAGCCUCGUGCUAGGUAGAGAUGAGAAUAUACAUAUAAGGCUUAGAGGAUCCACUCCCCUGGGCGAUGUGGGAUGUUACAAUCCACCCCCCUUAGGGGUCCGAUGUCCUCGUCGGCACACUUCCGACUAGAGAUUGGCUCUGAUACCAAAUUGUCAUAUCCCGGCCCGGGCCCCCACCACAUCCCAAGCUCGACUCCAUCGUAACAUGAUAUUGUCCGUUUUGGGCCCCGACCACACCUUCACGGUUUUGUUUCUAGGAACUCACACGAGAACUUCCCAGUGGGUCACUCGGUUUUGUUUCUAGAAACUCACAUGAGAACUUCCCAGUGGGUCACCCAUCUUGGAAUUGCUCUCGCGCGAACUCGCUUAACUUCGAAGUUCUGAUGGAACUCGAAGCCAGUGAGCUCCUAAAAGGCCUCGUGCUAGGUAGAGAUAAGAAUAUACAUAUAAGGCUUAGAGGAUCCACUCCCCUAGGCGAUGUGGGAUGUUAUAAUCCACCCCCCUUAGGGGCCCGACGUCCUCGUCAACACACUUCCGACUAGAGAUUGGCUCUGAUACCAAAUUGUCACAUCCCGGUCCGGGCCCCCACCACAUCCCAGGCUCGACUCUAUCGUAGCAUGAUAUUGUCCGUUUUGGGCCCCGACCACGCCCUCACGGUUUUGUUUCUAGGAACUCAGGCGAGAACUUCCUAGUGGGUCACCCGGUUUUGUUUCUGGGAACUCACACGAGAACUUCCCAGUGGGUCACCCAUCUUGGAAUUGCUCUUGCGCGAACUUGCUUAACUUCGGAGUUCCGAUGGAACCCAAAGCCAGUGAGCUCCCAAAAAGCCUCGUGCUAGGUAGAGAUGGGAAUAUACAUAUAAGGCUUAGAGGAUCCACUCCCCUGGACGAUGUGGGAUGUUACAGUAAUAUCAAUAACUUAUUGUUGGGUUCGUUAAGCAAGUGGGCAAUUAGGUCCGUUUAUGAGAGCAUAGGUGAAAUCUUUCGAUGUCGACUAGCACAGCUCAAUUCGGAGUCCUAGUGGACAUUCUGGGUUGGUGUCCAAAAUCCACCACAAUCCACCAAAAUCUACAAACUAAAACUAUUCAAAUUCUUUAAAAUCCAUAUGAAUUUUGUAAAAGUCUUAAAUCCUCCUAAACCCUAUCAAAUUUAUCACUUUUAAAAUCCUUUAAAAUCUUAGUUUGACUACACCCCCUUAGUAUUUUAAAUUGGCUUUACUACAUUGCACAUUGAGAUGAAUUUUUAAAAUGUCCAUCUAGCUUAGCUAGCUACCAUGAAAGCUACAUGAAAGCUGACUGUCAAUUUUCCAAGGGUUUUUCCACAUGAAAUGGCAUGAAAUGGGUUAAUUUCACUUUAAAUAGUUGAUAUAAAAUGAAAACAAAAGUACAACUGGUUGAGAACCUUCCUUUCAUGUUCUCCGUAUCUUAGAGGAUAACAACAGUAGCAAGUUAGGCUGGAUCAAAUACAAGAAUGAACAUGAGAACGUGCAUGCAUGGUUACCUUUUCCUUUUGUUUUUUACAGAGAAUCUUGAGAAGCAGUCAAGGGCAACGUUAUGUUUUUACUACUGAGAUCUGUGUGCUAAAAGGAGAUUACGUAGCUAGGUUCAGUCUUCACCUAACACUCCUAUUAUCACUUGUGACUGUAAAAGAUAUACUGUUGGGGUUGGCUGACGUUAAUUAGUUGUUCAUAUUGAUUUGAGAAAUUUGAUAGAAAUGAGGAUUAACGAAUUACAAUUAGAGCUGGCAAAUAGUUGGGUUUAGUUGGUUUGGGUUAGAUUCACCACUAAUUGAUUUCUACACGGGUCAUUCAAAUUCAAUCCAUUAGCUUAUGCAAUGGUGGAGCGAUGAAUUUUUCACCGGGUGAGCUAGCUUAAAGAUUUAAAUAUUUAUAAAAAAAAAACAUGAUACUGUAUUUUCACCGUAUUAGCUAACUAAAGAAAAUUUUGACAAGGUGAGCCAAGAAUAAACAAAUACUUGUUUAAAUUCAAACAAAUCCAAACUUGUACAUAUACAAGAAUUGAUGAGAAAAAAAGAAUGUAAGAAAAAGAGAUGGUUUGUAAACUGUAUUUUAUAAUUUUAUAUAGUCAAACCGAGAGAAUUUGGAUCAGUGACUAAUAUAUGGUGGACUACAUUCGAAAAUUAAUAAAAAUUACAUGUCAAAUUUUAUUUUUGGGCUAUAGCCCAAAAUAGCCCUUAACAUGGCUCUGCCAGUGAGCUUAUGGUAAAAAUGGUUGACCCGAAAUGACUUGUUUUGUUAACGAGCUAAUCAUUUCAUCCAGUAACGAUUUUUUUUUUUUUUUUUUUUUUUUUUAACAUUCAGCUGAAACCCAACUAUUUCGCGAACUAUUUUAACGGGUCAACCGUUGGUCUAGUUUUGUACUUGCCAACAAAACAAAGAACAUAUGAAAUAGUAAAUUAUUUCAAAGUAAAUCAAAUAGCGACGUAGAUUAUAUAACAACGAGUAAUCGUUUUAACAAUUAAAAAUUUCUUUUCAUUGGUUCAUACAAUUUUCGAAUUGGUAUCAACUUUAGUGUUAUUGUAUGUUUGUACCAUAUUUGACCAAUCCCGAAAUUACUGAGCACCGGUCAACGUUAUACCGUCAAGGACCCAGAAGAGUUUCCCUCCAACUAGGAGGCCAAUCACAGCGUAACACGUGUCGACAUCAGAAGCCAAUCAUAGUGCGACACGUGUCAACAUCAAAAGCCAAUCACAACACGACACGUGUCAAUGUCAGAAUGAAACUAGAAACUCUCUUCUAUAAAUAGAGAUCAUUCUCUCAUAAUAUUUCCUAAUGUCAUUUGUACUAAAUCAUUCACCUGUACUCACUAAAGGAGAGCUUGAACCUAUGUACUUGUGUAAACCCUUCACAAUUAAUAAGAACUCCUCUACUCCGUGGACGUAGCCAAUCUGGGUGAACCACGUACAUCUUUUGUUUGCUUCCCUGUCUCUAUCCAUUUGCAUACUUAUCCACAUUAGUGACCGGAGCAAUCUAACGAAGGUCACAAACUUAACACUUUCUGUUGUACCAAAGUCCUCACUGAUUUUGUGCAUCAACAUAUGGCACCGUCUGUGGGAACGACACUUAUUCCCACUUUCUUCAGCUUUGCCAAGCUGGUUUCCACCAUUCGUACACUCUCUUUUGACCAGGCAUCCCUCUUCAACAUGGGGAGCGAAGGAAGCCACAGCAUACAGAAUGACACCCCUCAUGCACCUAGUGCGAAACAACAAAGGAAGGAAGGAAAGAGGGUUGCUCUUUAAGCUAAAUUCGAUGAGUUAGAAGCUCAGAAUAACAAGAUAGCAAUGAAGAAUGAGGUCCUCUAAGAGCAGUAUGAGAAGCUCUUUGAGACGCUCCACGAAACUAGGCGUACUCAAACACGUGAGCUCGUUGCCCCUAUGGACAUCAACCAUCAUCUGGGUGCCCCCCAACACGGAGGGUCACCUCCCUUCGACAUGGGUAUCCCUAAUGAGGAGCAAGCUAAUCAUCAAAACAUUGAUCAACAUGAGACUUCUCUCAACUCAGAUGUUUCGACCCGAAGUAGAAGAAAUGGAGGAAAACACCUCAUUGCAGAAGGGUUUGAAGGAUCAAAAGUCGUUUAUCGUGAUUGCCGAGACUUCCUAAAGCAACGUCGAGAGAAUCCCCUCCACAUAUGCUCGAAGAUCAAUGACCUAAGGGUUUCUGAAAGACUCGGUCCCUUCUCACGACCCAGGCCAGCUGCUAAUCUAGGGAAGGAAUGACAGGUCCCAGAGGAAUAUGAAGGUACGGAGGACUCUGAGGUAUUCCGAUAGACUCGUCCUAUAAGUCAGUACGGCGAGUCCAAGAAAAAACCACACGCCCUUACUCAAACUUUCCUACUUCCAAGAGGCGAUGGAAACUUACGAAAGAAAAUUCCAGUGGUACAUGACUUUACUCAGGACCCCCUUGUCCUUCAGCUUCUUGUGGAAGUAACCAAGUUGAAGGCCGAACGUCAGGCCGAGAUACCUGACUCGAACCAACCUAGGCAUGGCUCUCUCAUAAGAAGGAUCAUCGACACCCCCUUUCAAGUGAAGACAAAACAAAAGCUUAGUUUACAACUCUAUACUAGAAGGGAGGACCUAAUUGAACACCUUAACCUCUUUGAGGCCACCAUGGCAUAUCGGAUGCAUACUGACGAAGAGUAAUGUCUUCUCUUCCUCUCCACCCUCUCUGGCGGAGCUCUAAACUGGUAUUGCCAUCUUCCACCUGAGACAGUAGACUCAUUUGAGGAAUUGAGGAAACUGUUUGUCUCUCAACACAUCUUCCAGACCGAUCACUUGCAUUCUACGGAUGACUUGUACACUAUUCGCUAGAAGCCGGACGAGUCACUACGAGAGUAUGUCGGUCGCUUCAGCCAUGAGUAUUCUCGCUGCACUGAGGCAGAUGACAAGACCGCCCUCAAGGCCUUCAAGGCAGGCCUACGUGAUUGUUUCUUCAAGUACAUGAUCAAUGCCAACACUUGGAAGACUUACUCUGAGAUGAUGGCACAAGCUUACAACCACGCCUACGCCGAAGUAAAGACAUACCAAGGGAACCCCCAUAUGGUUAACCCCUAUCAAGAAAUGGGAAGUGGAAGUCAAGUUCUACCAAGUGAGGAGAUAUUAGCCUUUCAGACACCCAUUGCAUCAUCUCCUGCCUCAUUUAGCUACUCGCUAAGUCACCAAACGUAUCUGUCUCUUUGUAAGAGGAAGGAUUUUUACUCUCAGCAAGCCCAUUACAGCAAGAGGGAUAAAAGUUCGUAUCAAGACAACCAGGGGUGAACGUACCGUCGAUUAUUAUGUCUAUAGGGCCAUGCCUCACUCUUUCAAAGUGAAGGACUAGGUACUGAAGGAAAUGUUAUUAUAAGAAGGCAUACACAUUACAAAUGUUUUGACUCUUAACCGCUUGAGAUCUUUUGUCACACAAGCCAUUCGGCAAAUAUUUAAAGAAGAGGGAAUUCAUACAACUUCUUCUGAGUCUUUUGCGUUCCUAGCACUGGAACACUUGGUCUACAUUGACCUACCCUUAUACUCCAACUCAGAGCUUCAACAUGCGUACUUUGACACAAAGUAUGUGAUACUAAGUGUUACAACUAACAUGGUUCACAUAUCAAAAGCAUGGAUCCCUUCAUGCAUAGCAAAACAUUCAUCAGCAUCACACAUAUCAAUCAACAUAAACAUUAUACAUUCCAACACAUUCAUACAUAAACAUCAUACAUUCCAACACAUUCAUACAUAAACAUCAUACAUUCCAACACAUCCAUACAUAAGCCAACUGUGCUUCAAAAGGGUUCAACAUACUUUGUGUCUUCAACACUUGCUACAAUGUGCCUCGACACCUUGCCCUUAUUCUCACCAACCAGGUGAUGAAAUGUGAAGAAGGAACUCAUCUUCAUGCCACCAACCAAGUGAUGAAAUGUACAACCCGUACUCUAAUAUCAUUUGGCAACUUGCCACUCAUGCCACUAACCAGGUGAAGAAGGAACUCAUCUUCAUGCCACCAACCAGGUGAAGAAGGACCUCAUCUUCGUGCCACCAUCCAGGUGAUGAAAUGUCCAACCCGUACUCUCCUUCAUGCCACUAACCAGGUGAUGAAAUGUACAACCCGUACUCUAAUAUCAUUUGGCAACUUGCCACUCAUGCCACCAACCAGGUGAAGAAUGAACUCAUCUUCAUGCCACAAACCAGGUGAUGAAAUGUACAACCCAUACUCUCCUUCAUGCCACCAACCAGGUGAUGAAAUGUACAACCAGUACUUUAAUAUUAAUUGACAACUUGCCAUUCAUGCCACCAACCAGGUAAAGAAGGAAAACAUCUUCAUGCCACCAACCAGGUGAUGAAAUGUACAACCCGUACUCUCCUUCAUGCCACCAACCAGGUGAUAAAAUGUACAACCCGUACUCUAAUAUCAUUUGGCAACUUGCCAUUCAUGCCACCAACCAGGUGAAGAAGGAACUCAUCCUCGUGCCACCAACCAGGUGAUGAAAUGUGAUGAAAGGUGAUGAAGGAACUCACCUUCGUACCACCAACUAAGUGAUGAAAGCAACUCACCAUUCAUUCCACCUACCAGAAGACGAGUGGUACAACUUGUACAUGUGAACUCUUAGCAUUCACAAAUAAUCAAAAACCCUCAAGCUUGACAACUCAACUAGGGGAGCACUUAUGCCUAACAAGAGUUAUAGUCACCAAUAAAGUCUUAUUGCAAGCCAAUAACAACUUCAGUGCAUGGCAUACGAAGAUUAAGCUAUUCAGCCCUCUUGCAUCUGCUUCAAGCAUUUCCCCUCUGUAACAAUGCAAACACUACAACUCGUAGAAAGCUUCACACACUCUUGAUCAAGACAGUGUGAAGCAAAACCAAUUUAUGGUGCUAACAAGAGCUUCAUCAAAGAAGUUCAACCACAAUUCUUAAAAACUUCACACAUUUUUUAUCAAGACAGUGUGAAGCAAAACCAAUUUAUGGUGUCAACAAGAGCUUCAUCAACGGAGGGCAACUACAAUUCUCAAAAGCUUCACACACUCUUGAUCAAGAGAGUGAAGCAAAACUAAUUUAUAGUGCCAACAAGAGCUUCAUCAAUAGAGGGCAACCACAAUUCUCAAAAGCUUCACACACUCUUGAUCAAGACAAUGUGAAGCAAAACCAAUUUAUGGUGCCAACAAGAGCUUCAUCAAAGGAGUUCAACCACAAUUCUCAAAAGCUUCACAUACUCUUGAUCAAGACAGUGUGAAGCAAAACCAAUUUAUGGUGCCAACAAAAGCUUUAAAUUGGUGCCAACAAGAGCUUCAUCAAUGGAAGGCAACCAUAAUUCUCAAAAGCUUCACACACUCUUGAUCAAGACAGUGUGAAGCAAAACCAAUUUACGGUGCCAACACAAAUUUCAUCAAAAGAGUUCAACCACAAUUCUCAAAAGCUUCACACACUCUUGAUCAAGACAGUGUGAAGCAAAACCAAUUUAUGGUGCCAACAAAAGCUUCAUCAAUGGAAGGCAACUACAAUUCUCAAACCUUCGAAGCAAAUUCAAGACUGUUCGAAGCAAAUUCAAUUUAUAUGGUUCAUCCAAACCUUCGACUACUACAAGGUGUGGCUUGCAUCACAAUCUCUUGCUCAACAGUGUGGAAGCAAAAUUUGUAUAUGUUGUCUCUCCCACAUUUUUCAAAUUUCUAGUUUCCCAAAAAAAAAAAAUUGGGAAAUUCAACAAAGCUUCAUCAAUGGAGGACAACUACAAAUUCUCAAAAGCUUCACACUAUCUUGAUCAAGAUAGUGUGAAGCAAAAUCAAUUCGUGGUACCCAACAAAGCUUCACCACAAAAGCUUCACCAACAAAAGCUUCAUCAAUGGAGGACAACUACAAAUUCUCAAAAGCUUCACACUAUCUUGAUCAAGAUAGUGUGAAGCAAAAUCAAUUCAUGGUACCUAACAAAAAGCUUCAACUCCAAAGCUUCACCAAUAAAAACUUUAUCAAUGGAGGACAACUACAAAUUCUCAAAAGCUUCACACUAUCUUGAUCAAGAUAGUGUGAAGCAAAAUCAAUUCAUGGUACCCAACAAAAGCUUCAACUCCAAAGCUUCACCUACAAAGCUUCAACUCCAAAGCUUCACCUACAAAAGCUUCACACCCACAAUAGCUUCACCCACAAAGCUUCACCUACAAAAGCUUCACCCAUAAAAGCUUCACCAACAAAAGCUUCACCCACAAAAGCUUCACCCACCACAAAAGCUUCACCGACAAAAACUUCACCCAUAAAAGCUUUACCAACAAAAGCUUCACCCACAAAAGCUUCCACCACCAUAAAAGCUUCACCCACAAAAGCUUCCCCCAUCACAAAAGCUUCACCAACCACAAAAGCUUCACCCAUAAAAGCUUCACCUACAAAGCUUCAACACAAAAGCUUCACCUAAAAAAGCUUCACAUUAUCUUGAUCAAGAUAGUGUGAAGAUAGUGUGAAGCAAAAUCAAUUCAUGGUACCCAACAAAGCUUCAAUCUCAAAGCUUCACCUACAAAGCUUCAACAACAAAGCUUCACCUACAAAGCUUCAACAACAAAGCUUCACCUACAAAGCUUUAAAAUAUAUAUAUAUAUAUAUAUAUAUAUUUUUUUUUUUUGAAAUUCGAAAAUAAAAAAUAAAAAAAAAUUCGAAAAAUAAAAAAUUUCAAAAAAAAAUUCGAAAAAAAAAUUGCUUAGGCCUCCUUUUCUUUGGGCCUAACAACUUUCAUAACAAAUAUAUAUGAAGAAGGAGUUUUGGGCUACCACUUAGAAAGGAAAUGCCUCAUUCGUCAACUCCCUCGACCGGAGACUUAGGGGACUCCUACCAUAUGCUACUGCACCUUGAUACUCGGAAGUCUCACGACCACUCAGUGACUUGGAUUUUUCAAGUCUCCAAACGAGAAGUUUUCCUCACUCGGAAAAUUAAGGGAGCACUACCUCAACCUACAUGCUUCACUCACAAAGCUUCAACAUACAAGCUUCAACAAAAGGAAAAAUUCAAAGAACUUAGUGAAGAAGGCCUUGGUGUAUUUAACACAAUACGUUGAAAUGAAGCAAAGCUUGUUUAUUGAUAUCUCCGAUAAGUUACAAAUAUGUACAUAUACAUGAAUCAAAAUAAACAAACAAGAGGAGCCUUCACAAAGGUUGCUCAGGAGAAGUCUCAGCAGUCGGCAAGGGCCCCAGAAAGAGGAGGCACCAGAGGGUGAUUAUUCGGAGCCUCAGUACUAGGCAGAACCCCAGAAGGAGGAGGCACCGAAGGUUGAUCAUUUGGAGCUUCAUUACGCGGUACAGCCCCAGAAGACGAAGGCAAUAAAUGCCUUUGGAACAAACCCACAAACCUCUGAUGAUCAAGUAAAAUCUGACCAUCAGAUUCCUGCAGCUGGUCGAGCUUCCUCUUCAUGUUUGUAGCAUAGUCAUGUGCGAGCCUGUGCAACUGUUUAUUCUCAUGCUUGAGCCCUCUGAUCUCCUGUUUGAGACUUAUCACUUCAGCCGCCAAUGAUUCAACUUGGCGGGUUCGAGCAAAUAGGCGUUGGGCCAUAUUAGACACAGAACCUGCACACUGAACACUGAGAGCCAGAGAAUCCUUAACAGCCUUCAUCAGACCGUUUGGAAAGUAGUCUGUUAUCUUUGGGAGUGAGAAGGUUCCUGGCCACCACCGCAGCGGUCAUAUCAUUCUUCAUCACAGAGUCCCCAACGGUAAGAGGACCAGUAGGGGAUAAGAAGGAUGGGUGCCAUAUGUUGUCUUGAGAAGGCAUGGCUGCCUCUUCACCAAAGUUCAAGUCAAAACGACGGUCGGAUGGGCCAGACAUUCUCAGAAAUGAUGAAGGAGAAAUGAGGUGCAAUAAAUCUCUGAAGUAAGGGGAAAAUUCCUACAAGCAAUAACUCUCUGAAUGUACUUCUUGCACAUAAUUGGUGCCCUUAUAAAAGAAAGGGCAACAGGGCCGUUGGUUCAAAAAUCGAAGAGGCACCACUCUUCGGAUUCCAAAGAGGCACCACUUUCCACACGCAACAUCAGCUCCUCGGGUACCACAUAUAACUUUGCCAAAGAUCUCUGACAAAGUUUAGACACAUAAAUUUUAAAGGUCCAGCUAUCCUACUAUUACCCACAAGGGUAAAGGAACAACACCACUGCUUGAUAACUAGAAAGUCCCAAUGUGUGUCAACCUCCGUGCUCCGUGGCAAGGCAGACUGGCAAAAAUGCCCAACCUUUACUCACAUUUGAUAAAACACUCCCAACAAGAUUGCUUGCUCAAAAAUCGAAGAGACAUCGCCCUCCGAAUCUAGAUAGCCAGACUCCCAACAGGAUUAUUUUCUCAAAAAUCGAAGAGAUACUGCUCUCCGAAUCUCAAGAGUCAGACUCCCAACAAGAUUGCUUUCUAAAAAAUCGAAGAGGCACUGCUAUCUGAAUCUCGAGAGCUAGACUCCCAACAAGAUUACGUGCUCAAAAAUCGAAGAGGCACCGCCCUCUGAAUCUCGAGAGCCAGACUCCCAACAGGAUUACUUUCUCAAAAAAUCGAAGAGACUGCUUUCCGAAUCUCAAGAGUCAGACUCCCAACAGGAUUGCUUUCUCAAAAAUCGAAAAGGCAUCGUUAUCUGAAUCUUGAGAGCCAGAUCCUCGACAGGAUUGCUUGUUCGAAAAUCAAAGAGACACCGCUCUCUGAACUCCGAGAGCCAGAUUUCCUUGGAUAAAGCUUGUCUGCAAUCUUCACACACAACAUCAGUUUUCCAGAUACUACAAACCACUUUUUCAAAGUGCUCUGACAAAGUUAAAACACGUGAAGCUUGCAGCUCCCAUUACAUUGCUAUGACCAAGAAGGGUAAAGAAAUAGCACUACUACUUGUUAUUAGGGAGACUCAUAUAUAUAUCGACCUCCAUCCUCCACAACCAGGCAGACCUACAAAUAAAAAAAAAUGCUCAACUUUUCUUCACAUCCGAGAAGGCACCCUCAGCAGAGUCUCAUGAAAUACUCAGCUUUUUUUCCUCCCGAUAAUACCUCUGCAAACAAGCCACACCAGAGCAAGAGUAUCUCAUAUCAUCAGGGUUAAAAGCAAGAGUAUCCCAUAUCAUGCUUUUUCCCUGUUUUUUCCUUUGGCCUUGUUUUUACCUACAAGACAAGGAGAAAAAGAGCAAUCAGUCAGCGCUUGAAAUCAAGCUUCAAGUCAGGAACUACCUCUUGCCUGAUUACUUACCUGACAUUGCUCUCGAGUACUCAUCUUCAACAUCUUAUGCUUUCAGAGAAGAUACCAUAUCUGCCUGAGGAACAGAUAAGGCAAGUGAGAAGGAUACAAGGAAGCAAGUGGAGACAAGCGUAACAGAACACGUGCCGAUACAUCCACUACUUUGUCAACAACAAAAGUAUCCCAUAUCAUCAGGGUCGAACGUACUCUAGAUUUGAUGGACUUGUUUUGACCCUCAAAUUCUUGAGUCGGCCUUAUACUCUGGAGGAAACCAGAAAACCCUCCAGCCCAGUUCAAGAAUAAGCAUGUGGAAAGUUACUUCUUCAAAAGCAAAAGUAUCUCAUAUCAUCUCUUCUCCAUUUGUUUCUCCUUAUCCUUGUUGCUAUUUAAGACACAAGGAGAAGGAGAACAAUCAACCGGAAGCCGAAGUUGAACCUCUGAUCCAGGUUGCUUGCUUGGAAGUCUGAUUGCUUACCUUUUCUGUUACCUCUCUCGGCAAAUCUCCUAGCUCGACGACUUGGGGGACUCCUACUACAGGGUUUGUAUCGCACAUGACCAAGCUCGAAAUUACAAGUAAGCUUCAAGUGAAAUUGAUACAUUACCUUAUGCAUCUUCAUCGGUUAAAGAUACCACCCAUGGAUAGAGGAAAAGUACCUCUAGAGAAGAUGCCACAUCUACAUAUGAGACAGAUAAGACAAGUGAAAAUGAUACCACACUUCGGUACUUAGAAGUUUCGUGAUUACUUAAUAGCUUGGAUCUUGUAAGUCCCUAACCGAGGAGCUUCCCUUACUCGGGAGCUUAGGGGAUCACUGUUUGUACCAUACUUGACCAAUCCCAAAACUACUGAGCACCGGUCAAAGUUAUACCGUCAAGGACCCAUAAGUGUUUCCCUCCAACCAGGAGGCCAAUCACAGCGUGACACGUGUCGACAUCAGAAGCCAAUCAUAGCGCGACACGUGUCAACAUCAGAAGUCAAUCACAACACGACAUGUGUCAAUGUCAGAAUGAAACUAGAAACUCUCUUCUAUAAAUAGAGAUCAUUCUCUCAUAAUAUUUCCUAAUGUCAUUUGUACUAAAUCAUUCACUAGUACUCACUAAAGAAGAGUUUGAACAUAUGUACUUGUGUAAACCCUUCACAAUUAAUAAGAACUCCUCUACUCUAUGGACGUAGCCAAUCUGGGUGAACCACAUACAUCUUGUGUUUGCUUCCCUGUCUCUAUCCAUUUGCAUACUUAUCCACACUAGUGACCGGAGCAAUCUAGCGAAGGUCACAAACUUAACACUUUCUGUUAUACCAAAGUCCUCACUGAUUUUGUGCAUCAAUAUUGUACAAAUGAAAGGUAUGGUGACUAUAGAAGCUAAAAAUAAAUAAACAGAAAAUAAAGGAAAAGUGACAAAGAAAAAUAUUAGUUUGUGUCGUUCUCAUUGUAAUAGUCUGUCAUGUGAUAUAUUUUAUACAUUGUAAUAUGAACGAUGAGUAAGUGUUUUGUUUUUUUUGUCAAACAAUAUAUUUGUUAGAUUAGAGAAUUGACGGGGUUCGAAUCCACGUCGUGGUGCAAGGCCACCACUAGUCUCCACUACUGUGGUAGAGUGCCACUUGUGGUCAGUAAGUUAUUAAAUGGUGUGAGAAUUACACCAAAAUAUUCAUUAGUUUUGGAGUAAUGCUAGAGAGACUAAAUUUGUAGACAAAAUUUUAAAAACUAAAAGACAUAAAAGUUAAUGAUUGGUUUAUUACUUAAGUGUUAAUAAACAUGCUUAUUCCUAUUGGUGACACAUUAUUUAGUUUACAAAUUUUGUCUAUAAAUUUAGUCUCUGUGGCAUUACCCUUAGUUUUAGGCUUUGUAAUCAAAAUGGUCUUAGAGAUUGGUACAACUCUUUACUUUGGUCCCAAAUAUUGAAAAUUGAUAGAAGUAAUCCCUGAGUUUGUUCACCGUAAAUCAUUUUGGUGCAUCCGUGAAAAGUCUGUCAACACCAUCUUUAAAUUGUCAUAUGAGCGACCACAAGACAACCUUUUCCAUAGUAUUGUCAAACUAACUCCUUUUAUUAACCAAAAUGGUCGAGUUUGGUAUAACCUCUCAUUUUGAUUACUAACAAUGAAUAUCAAUAGAUGUGGUCCUUGAGUUUGUCUAUCGUAAAUCAUUUUGGUCAUUCUAUGAAAAAUUUAUCAAUAUACUCGUUAAAUUGUCAUGUGAGCGACCGCGUGAUCACCUUUUAAAGGGCAUUUUUACCAAACCAACCCCUCCACUUAACAAGAAUAUUGAUAGAGUUUUCAAGGAAGGAACAAAAUGAUUUACGAUGGUCAAACUCAAUGACCACUUCUAUCAGUUUUCAUUGUUAGGGACUAAAAUAAAGAGUCAUGUCGAUAUCAGGAACUAUUUUGGUUAAAAGGGGUUGGUUUGAUAAAAAAAUACAUUUAAAAGGGUGGUUACAUGGUCGCUCAUGUAACAACUCAAUGAUGAUAUUGAUAGAUUUUUUACUGAAUGAUCAAAAUAAUUUAUGGUGGAUAAAGUCAAAAACCACGUCUAUCGAUUUUGUAAUCUUAGAAACUAAAACGAAGAAUUAUGACAAUCUCAAAAAUCAUAAGUUUAACUAAAAACUCUUCUUGUUAUACAUCAAAAUUAAUGAAUGUGCUUUUGUAGAGGACGUAAAUGUGUCAACGAAUCAGACCUUCACUAGUUAAAACCAUCCCUACUAAUGCUGUUUGAAAAGUAAGUACUAAUAUGAUUAAUGAUUGUACAGAAAAAUAAGUACUAAUAUGAUUAAUGAUUGUACAGAAAAAAAUAUAUUAUCUGAACAGCUCAUCGUGCAUGUUGAUUGAUGUAAAGUGAAUUUUUUUUUUUUUGGUAAACUUGGGAAGGUGGAACUUGGGAAGGAAUUUCACAUUCUUGGGGUGAUCAAUAUAAUGAGAUUGUAAGUCUAGUUAAACAUGCUUAAUUAAACAUUUAAGCAUCUUUUAUUUAUUUGUUUUCAUUCUUUAUUCCUUCUUAAUUUGUUGUAAUUGUUUGGAACAACUAGCAAGACAAAUCUAGCUAGCUAGCAUUCACUGCACAAUGAAAGAUUAUUCGUAUUUGGAAAUGAAUAAUUAGUUAAAACCUGUAUUAUUAGGCAAAUGGGAUCGUAAAUAUUUGUAUCUUAAACCUUCACAGUCAGAGAUAUUCGAGUCAAUUAGUUAAAAGCUAUGAAAAUUGUGAAUGUGACAGACUACGUACUAAAGUCUGGAUUAUUUGAGAGAGAGAGAGACAUGAGUCUCGCAGCCGACUGGUCCCUCAUCUGAGCAGAAAGAACCAUAGAAAGUUAGGCAACCACGCACAUUUUCAAAGAUGUCGAUCAUGAAAAAUAUUUCACAAAUAAAUUCAGGGAAGACUUUCUGUUUAAAUUAUUAACCCAGAAAUAAAGCUCCAUCUCUUGGUAGCUAGCCUUUCUGCUACGUACUCUUGUUGCAUUAAACUAAACCUUAUUAAAGCAAAAAUAAUCACACCUUAGGUGAUAGGUUUAGGGAAAUGGUUAAUGAUUUUAGCAAGUUCUUGUUUAUUUUUUAAUUUUUAAUUUUUUUUUCUUUAAUCAAUUUAAAUGCUAAAAUUAAACAACGAUGUGCACCACAAAUAAGAGGGUGUGUGAAAAUUAUAUCUCUAUAUCUAGAGAAAAUUAUGGCAAUGGUUCUUUAACUUUAAUAAAAUUGAAGUAAUGGUCUCUCAAAUAAAAAUUUAUGAUCAUUGGUCCCUUAAUUCUUUCAAACAUGCAACUAUAGUCAUUUUCAUCAAUUCCAUAAGAACGUCCAUCAAAAUGAGUCACGUUUCAUGCAAUGAGGCUGAAUCGAAGGACAAAUAUGAAAAACCAAAUGAGAAAAAUUGUAGCAGUGGUCUCUCAACUCUAACCCAACUAGAGAAAUAGUCUCUCAACUUUAACUCAAUUAGAGUAAUGAUCCUUCAACCUUAACGUAAUUGUAGCAAUGGUUAUUCAAACAUAACUUAUUUUGACAGAAUUCUAACGGAGUUAACAAAAAAAUCAUAGCUGCACGUUUUGAUGAGUCAAGAGACCAAUGAUCAUGGAUUUUUAGUUGAAGAACAAUUGCUCUAAUUGGGUUAAAGUUGAGAGGCAAUUGCUACAAUCUUCUCCUAUAUUUAUUUAUUAUUAUCUACGUUUACAAUGAACCAUCUACUCCAUGAAGCAAGAUAUUAAAAAAGGACAAGGAUUGUCUGCCCUUCCAUUUUCCAUGCCCUCCUGUUUUGUGUGAUCACAGUUAAGCCACGUUAACAUUUUAUAUAUUUUUUAUAAAGAUAAUAAAACAAAAAUGAAUAGUAAUAUAAAAUAUUGACGUGGCUUAACCGUGACCACACAAACAAGAGGGCAUGGAAGGGCAUGGAAAAAGGAAGGGCAGACAAUCCUUUCCAUUAAAAAAAGGGCAGGGCUUAACAAAAUUCAGUCAAAGGCCUCCUUGAUCCAAACAUUAAUUGAUAAUCUAUUCAAACAGUGGCCCCAUUAGUCUUAUUUUAACAUUAAUCUUAUUUUUUACUAAGGUAAUUAAUAAUUGCAAGUGAAAUUUGGCAUGAUUACCGUGGUGUUAAAGGUAAAGACCAAAGCUAUAUAAAGGGUGAGAAGGCUUAGCUUAAGAGGCAGAAAUCCCAUUCUUAACAAAGAUGGGGAAAAUGGGGCCUUCACAAGUGACCUCUCUUGUGGUCACUAUACUAGUGGCACUAGUCUCUCUCACAUUGCCUUCAGAAACUUCAGCUAACUACCCUUACUCAUCUCCACCACCACCGGCUUCUCCUCCCUACCACUACAAGUCACCACCACCUCCUUCUCCUUCUCCUCCAGUGUACUCACCACCUAAGCAUCCCUACCACCCCAAGUCACCACCACCAUCACCAAAGCCUUACCACUACAAGUCCCCACCACCACCUCCUCCUCCAGUGCACUCACCACCCCCACCAAAGGAGCCUUACCACUACAAGUCUCCACCACCACCACCCAAGAAACCUCACCAUCACAAGUCUCCUCCACCACCACCCAGGAAGCCCUACCACCCGGUGCACUCACCCCCACCACCAAAGAAGCCUUACCAUUACAAGUCUCCUCCACCACCACCCAAGAAGCCCUACCACCCGGUGCACUCACCCCCACCACCAAAGAAGCCUUACCAUUACAAGUCUCCUCCACCACCACCCAAGAAGCCCUACCACCCGGUGCACUCCCCACCACCACCAAAGAAGCCUUACCAUUACAAGUCUCCUCCACCACCACCCAAGAAGCCCUACCACCCGGUGCACUCACCCCCACCACCAAAGAAGCCUUACCAUUACCAAUCCCCACCACCACCACCACCACACAAGAAGCCUCACCACCCAGUUCACUCACCACCUCCACCUAAGAAGCCUUACCACUACACGUCUCCCCCACCACCCCCUCCAGUCCACAAGUCUCCUCCACCACCAGUUCACUCACCACCACCACCACCUAUUAAACCUUACAAGCCACCAACACCUCCAACAGUUCACCCACCACCCGCUUACAUCUAUUCAUCACCCCCACCUCCUCACCACUACUAGAUAUUGAGAGCUUAGUUGCAUCCAGUUGGUAAGCCUCUCCAUUCUAUGUUUUUAGAUCAUAUCCAUACAACUGCAAGCAAUCGCCAAAUAAUUUGACAAAAAACAUCCCUAGCUAUAAAAUUAUAAUACACUAGUGUUUACUUCCUUUUUUGUCUAAUAAUCCAUAUUGGCAUAUGCAAGCUUAAUGCAUUUCCAGCAUAUCGUCAUUACUCAAUUAAAGUUUCUUGAUAUUUAGUAGUACUCAAGUGUAACAAAUAGACCAAUGACAGAGACCUAACAAGUAACAAUAAUAUAUAUAUAUAU